CACCGCGGAGCCCUGGCGGUCGCCAAGCAGUCUGGCUUUUUCAUUUGGUCCUCACACCUCCGACCAUCCUCAUCCUCCUCCGUCUUCCAGGGCAGCGGCGUCCCCCAUCCCUCGGACCUCCAAGCGCUCCACGUUCCGCGGUAAUCGGAGAUCUCUUUCCCCACACCUGAAAAUCGGAUUAUUUUUAAAUCGUUUUGAUUCCAUCGCAAACAUUUCGCGGACGCAAAGGAGCAAAGACAACUAAAUAAUACGUCGUCUGGUGAAGAUCUAACCGUGCCCCCUCUCUUACUGCCGGGUGGAAACGUUCGCGGUGGUGAUCGCGCUUAUUUCCUUUGUUUUUGGUUUUUUCUAACGUCCACUGCUGUUUUCCAUUCUUUAUUGUUCCGUUUCGCAUGUUGAGCGUUCCACUCCGGAUCUCUUCUUUUGCGCGAUGUAUUUGUUUUCCGACGGCAUCAAGAAGAACUACGGAUCGUCAGUGUUUUUCAUUUAGGCCCCGUCGGUAUGUGCUAGCGAACCGGUUUUUACCCCAGGAAGCUGAGCGAAGUUGACGAAACCGGGAUAAGAUAUCACAGGGCUCGAUGAUGUUCGUGCAGUUGCUGUGCUGGUGCUGUCUUUACGCGACAGUCUCCUCGUCCGCAAUGCAAGAUCCAGAAGAGGUCAGCGUUCCUAAGCGGACAGACCACACUAACAAGACACCCUUUCCUACACAUACAUUCAGGUCGUCAUUGAGCAAGGACAACACGGGGCUCAUAGGGGCCUCUCCAACGGCUCUGCUGGGCCCGGGCAACUCUCCCAUGCACAUUCCGCUCAAGUUCUGGGAGAACCCCCGCAAGUCGGUCAUGAAACCUCGCCGCAAGGAUCUCCUCGAGCCGCAUCUCAUGAAACUUCUCGGCAAGGAUUUCGAUUACAAGUGGAUGCGACGAUCAAAAGAUCAAACAUCAUCCCUGGUAGGCAAAGGCGAGGUGGAAGGAAAGACUAUAAGAGCACUACGGGCUCUGGUGAGUCAGAACCACAGCUAUGACGAGCUGGUACAACUGCCGGGAACCUGCCGGAUCAGUACAAGGAGCUGGUGA
rnacentral:lncRNA from 1 species